UACGUAGGGUGCGAGCGUUUAAUCGGAAUUACUGGGCGUAAAGCGUGCGCAGGCGGUUUUGUAAGUCUGUCGUGAAAUCCCCGGGCUCAACCUGGGAAUUGCGAUGGAGACUGCAAGGCUAGAAUCUGGCAGAGGGGGGUAGAAUUCCACGUGUAGCAGUGAAAUGCGUAGAGAUGUGGAGGAACACCGAUGGCGAAGGCAGCCCCCUGGGUCAAGAUUGACGCUCAUGCACGAAAGGCGUGGGGAGCAAACAGG
rnacentral:rRNA from 1 species